rnacentral:rRNA from 1 species
AUGAUGUUUGAGCAUGUACUUUUUCUGAGUGUCUAUUUAUUUUCGAUUGGUAUCUAUGGAUUGAUCACAAGCCGAAACAUGGUUAGAGCUCUAAUAUGUCUUGAACCUAUACUGAAUUCAAUUAAUCUAAAUCUCGUAACAUUUUCUGAUCUAUUUGAUAGUCGCCAAUUAAAAGGAGAUAUUUUCGCAAUUUUUGUUAUAGCCCUUGCGGCUGCUGAAGCCGCUAUUGGACUAUCCAUUAUUUCUUCCAUCCAUCGUAAUAGGAAAUCCACUCAUAUCAAUCAAUCUAAUUUAAAUAAUUAG